GACGAACGCUGGCGGCGUGCUUAACACAUGCAAGCCGAACGAGACGAUUGAAAGCUUGCUUUUAAAAGUCGAGUGGCAAACGGGUGAGUAACGCGUAGACAACCUGCCUUUGAGAUGGGGACAACAGUUCGAAAGGACUGCUAAUACCGAAUGUUGUAUAUUUUCCACAUGGAAGAUAUAUUAAAGAUGGCCUCUAUUUAUAAGCUAUCGCUCAAAGAUGGGUCUGCGUCUGAUUAGCUGGUUGGUGGGGUAACGGCCUACCGAGGCGACGAUCAGUAGCCGGGCUGAGAGGAUGAACGGCCACAUUGGGACUGAGACACGGCCCAGACUCCUACGGGAGGCAGCAGUGGGGAAUCUUCCACAAUGGACGAAAGUCUGAUGGAGCAACGCCGCGUGAGUGAAGAAGGGUUUCGGCUCGUAAAGCUCUGUUGUCGGGGACGAAUGUGCAGUAUUUGAAUAAAGUACUGCAAUGACGGUACCUGACGAGGAAGCCACGGCUAACUAUGUGCCAGCCGCCGCCGUAACAC
rnacentral:rRNA from 1 species